UACGUAGGGAGCAAGCGUUGUCCGGAUUUACUGGGUGUAAAGGGUGCGUAGGCGGCUUGGUAAGUCAGAUGUGAAAUCUAUGGGCUCAACCCAUAAACUGCAUUUGAAACUAUCAAACUUGAGUGAAGUAGAGGCAAGCGGAAUUCCCUGUGUAGCGGUGAAAUGCGUAGAGAUAGGGAGGAACACCAGUGGCGAAGGCGGCUUGCUGGGCUUUAACUGACGCUGAGGCACGAAAGCGUGGGUAG
rnacentral:rRNA from 1 species